CUAGUGAAAUAGAACUUCAAUUUGGAAUAGAAUGUAAAUGAAUAGCAUAAAUUAGGUGAGUAUUUCAGGGAAGCUGGUAAAGCUAAGAGGUUCUAUGUGAGAAUCUGAGUAGUUUAAACACAGUAUCAGGAAUGCUCAUUGACUGAAGAUUCCCCUUUUUUUCAGCAAAACACUUAUAGAAUGGGCAGUUGGAUUGGUGACAAAUAAUGCUGGAUGAGCAUAAUUUCUAUUGACUGCAGUGGGAGUCUCCCCUAUGCAUCUAAAUGUAAAAUUUAUCUGCAGAAGGCAGGAGGAGUUAUUCUGCAAUCCAAUAAGGUUUGCUUCAGCCUUUGACAUUCUGCUUUUGGCUUAGACUCUGAACUCCAAAAUGGAAGAACUCUGCAUCCUGUGUAUUUCCGAUCAUUGGCCUGUUUCUGCCUCCAAUUUCAGCAGAUUAAUAAAGAACAGCUUCUCUGGAAGCCAGAAGGGUGAAUUGGGAUCAGGUCUGUGAGAUCAACAUCAGGUCUCCAUGAUGUGGGAGCUGCCUGGGGAAGGAUUUUAGAUCAGAGGACAAAGUAAUAGCUGGCAAGUCCAGAAUGGUAAAGAAUUUACUUUCACAUGUUUGCAGCUUGAAGAAUUUGUCUUUUAUAUAAAUUGAUAGCAAUAAGGUAAAGUUACACACUGUUGCUGUUGCUUUGUUAUUGAGUUUGGCGACUGGUAUAGAUGCAUCUAUCACUUUGGUUUGUUACUGUGCUAGAGCAGUGCAUAUAAAUAAAGGGGAUAAAUAACCUAAUUUGCUAUGAGCAAGAGUCACAGUAUAUUAAAAACAGUGGCACAGAGGAAGCUUUUGCCUCUCCUGGAAAAAGUUUUAUAACAGAUCUUUGUAGUCAUCAUUUAAACUGGCAGGUACAGUACACAAAGAUCCUUACAGCCCAGGCACAAGCUUAUUUAACCUUUUCAGAAUAUAUUAUUGGCUAAUAUGACUUCACUGAUGGAAAGGGGAAUUUUUCUAUUGACUCUACCAAAACUGAGUUUCACCCAAGUAAUUGCAAUUUUUAUUUCAGAACUAUUUUGGUUUUGAACAAAUAAUUGCUAUUACGUGAAUGAGUAAGCUCUGGGUGCACAUAGAUUGUGCAUCUCCCACUUCUCAUGGCUCCCUGAGGAAUUUUUUUGUUAUUACUUCAUAAGUGGACUUGUUAGAUGGGCUCCCACUGUCUUUCUGCAAAUCUUCGAACAGCUUGGGCAGGUGUGCUUUCCCUCCUUCGGGUGGGAAGGAAGGAACAUGCUUCAGACUGGUCGCUUUAGCACCUCAUGAGAUGCUGAAUCUCCAGCAUCUGGGUAAGGCUCUUUUGGCCUGACAUUCAUAUCCUCCUGCACUUGGAGGGACCUGCAGUUAUCACAUGCCAUGAUUUUUGUUUCUAGUCAUCAAGCAGAUUUUUAAUAGGCUGAAGAUACUGUUGUUGGCUUGUGCACACAUCAGAUGCAUUUCAGUGUUGCAGUUGUUCAGUUACCUUUGUGCAUUUAGAAUUGGAACCUACAGACCUCAAUUAACAGCUCUCCCUUGGGAGAGAGAGUGGCCUCGUUUCUUUUUCUCAUAUCAUCUCAUGGCAGAUGAUUGGCAGAAUUGCCUCCUCUCCCAAGCAAGCUGUUUCUCUGCCCUUCAGAAAUAUCAUGACAAAAUUCUCCCUGACUCAGUGGCGAGGUGGUUUAGUUUCAGAAGUGUAUGUACAUUCGGCUGCACUCACAAGGUUUGUUACAUCCUUGCUGAUGGGUGUCUGCACAAAGUUACAUCCUCACUGUGUACGUGCAUAAAGUUUUUCCAAGGACUCUUUUAGCUUGCAUGGAACUGGCAGGGGAAAAAAGGAGGGAAGAAAGAGUAUUUGCCAGCAUGGCAUAGAUCAUGUCAGGAAGAAUUCUGUGUGUAUCCUGUUGCACAUGUGUCUGAAGAGCCAGCUAAUGUUCAUUGUGUCUGGGCAAGGUGAAAUAGGAAACAGAAUGGAUUACAAAUCCAGAGUCUGGCCACCAAGUGAGAGCUACACUGUCUCUGAAGCAGCCUGGGGACUCAAAGAUACAAUGGACACAAUUUCUAGUUUUCCCUGGUCUUGAAGAAAAGUGCUAACUUACUACUGACCUGACCUGUAUUAAUAAGUAAUUUUUAUCUUUCAAUGCUGGCUCAGAUGUGGAAGCCAAUAAGCAGAGUCAGAGCCUAUUCUUUGCUUUCCUCUCCCUCAUAUUUGCCUUAGGAAGAAAACACAGACUUCCAAGUCUAUAGCAUGAACUUUUAGCAACACCAGGGUUCACCUGUCCAUUUACUCCCUUGUACCUGCAAGUCACCUCUCUGACUUCUCCUCAUCAAGAAUUCAGUUUCAUAAGAAACAGUAAAAAGAUUAAAUGAAAAAGACAAAGCUACCAGAGCUACUUUCAGUUCUUUUUUUUUUUUUUUCCUAGUUGUCACAUUAUGGCAGAAGUCAUCUCCAAGCUGUGAAAAAGGGUGGACUUCAGCUGCAUUUGUAAAACAACUCGUCCAUCAUUCCCAGCUCAGAUUUCUACAGUGAUUUCACCAAGUUGGUUUGCUGUACGAUGCAAAAUGGAAGUCAAGUUAAUUUUGCGCUCUACCCACCUCAGUCUGAUUAACUCAAAUUAAAUUUUGUGCUAAUAAA